AACGAACGCUGGCGGCAGGCCUAACACAUGCAAGUCGAACGGACGUAGCAAUACGUUAGUGGCUCACGGGAGAGUAACGCGUGGGAACCUUCCUUUUGGUUCGGGAUAACAUCGGGAAACUGGUGCUAAUACCGGAUAAGCCCUUCGGGGGAAAGAUUUAUUGCCGAAAGAUGGGCCCGCGUUGGAUUAGCUAGUUGGUGAGGUAAUGGCUCACCAAGGCAACGAUCCAUAGCUGGUCUGAGAGGAUGAUCAGCCUCACUGGGACUGAGACACGGCCCAGACUCCUACGGGAGGCAGCAGUGGGGAAUAUUGGACAAUGGGGGAAACCCUGAUCCAGCCAUGCCGCGUGAAUGAUGAAGGCCUUCGGGUUGUAAAGUUCUUUUGGUGGGGACGAUGAUGACGGUACCCACAGAAUAAGCUCCGGCUAACUUCGUGCCAGCCGCCGCCGUAA
rnacentral:rRNA from 1 species